GACGAACGCUGGCGGCGUGCUUAACACAUGCAAGUCGAACGGAAAGGCCCUGCUUUUGUGGGGUGCUCGAGUGGCGAAAGGGUGAGUAACACGUGAGUAACCUGCCCUUGACUUUGGGAUAACUUCAGGAAACUGGGGCUAAUACCGGAUAGGAGCUCCUGCUGCAUGUUGGGGGUUGGAAAGUUUCGGCGGUUGGGGAUGGACUCGCGGCUUAUCAGCUUGUUGGUGGGGUAGUGGCUUACCAAGGCUUUGACGGGUAGCCGGCCUGUGAGGGUGACCGGCCACCUUGGGACUGAGAUACGGCCCAGACUCCUACGGGAGGCAGCAGUGGGGAAUAUUGCACAAUGGGCGGAAGCCUGAUGCAGCAACGCCGCGUGCGGGAUGACGGCCUUCGGGUUGUAAACCGCUUUCGCCUGUGACGAAGCGUGAGUGACGGUAAUGUGUAAAGAAGCACCGGCUAACUACGUG
rnacentral:rRNA from 1 species